UCUCCCUCCCUCAGUUCCUCCUUCCCACCUCCAUGUGUCUCCCUUUCUCUCUGUCCCUCUCUAUCUCACACUGGAGCCCUAUCAAUAAACCUAGGCCUCCUGUAACGAAUGCAACAUUUCAAACUCCUCUCAUCAAAUUAUAUUUCUGUUAAAUAUAGAUCUAAUUUUGUUUUUAACAAAUAUUGUUUAUUUUACUUA